AAAUCCACGCCACUCUGUGAAUUACCGUCUCUUGUUUAUUAAGAAUCUCGUGGCGAAAGAAUGCCAAAAAUCCACGCCACUAUUUGAAUUACCGUCUCUUGUUUAUUAAGAAUCUCGUGGCGAAAGAAUGCCAAAAAUCCACGCCACUCUGUGAAUUACCGUCUCUUGUUUAUUAAGUUAAACUUCCAAUAAUCCCUGCUCUGACCUAGAGGUUUUGGACGCCAAAAUUGACCGUCUGUUAGGAAAGAGAGAUGGAGAGAUGUUUGAAUGUGGAAAGGGCAAAACAGAUCAGCCUGCCUGGGUAUGAAGAAUUACAUAAUUCCUUGAACGCGGAAAAAUGAUAAAUUCAUGUGAUUACUAAUAAGGGAAUUCAAAAAAAAAGUAAAGCUUUGAAUGUAGUUUUAGUGAACGCUAAUACCUGUCACAUUUAAAAGACCGUCACAUUUUAUAGACUAUAUAUGGGCAUAAACUUCAUUUUUACGACGUAAUGUAUGACAAGUCGUGUUUGCUAAAUUUCUCUAAUUUUAAUGAAUAACAUGUACUAAGGAAACUUAUAGUUUUGACAAUGGUUUGCCCUGUCAGAAUUGAAUACGCGUGUAUGCUAAUAAAUAACGACGAACAUGUUUGAGAGAAACUUUUAAGUGAAUAGCUCGAGGAAGUAGAACGCCUCGAGAAAAACAUCAAUGAAUUAAGAUUCUUAUAUGGGAAAGACAACAAUUAAAGAUUUUUGAUAAA